UACAGAGGGUGCGAGCGUUAAUCGGAAUUACUGGGCGUAAAGCGUGCGCAGGCGGUCUGCUAAGCGAGGUGUGAAAUCCCCGGGCUUAACCUGGGAACUGCGCUUCUAACUGGCAGGCUUGAGUGUGGCAGAGGGGGGUGGAAUUCCACGUGUAGCAGUGAAAUGCGUAGAGAUGUGGAGGAACACCGAUGGCGAAGGCAGCCCCCUGGGCUAACACUGACGCUCAUGCACGAAAGCGUGGGGAGCAAACAGG
rnacentral:rRNA from 1 species